GCGGCGGUCACGUUUUGUCUAACCCUAACUGAGCUGGGCGGAGGCGCCGCGCUUUUGCUCCCCGCGCGCUGUUUUUCUCGCUGACUUUCAGCGGGCGGAAAAGCCUCGGUCUACCGCCACUUACCAUCCAGUCUGGAGUAAACAAAAAAUGUCAGCCGCUGGCUCGCUCGCCCCUCCCGGGACCCUGCGACGGCUCGCCCGCCCAGCCCCCGCGCCCCGCCUGGAGGCCGCGGUCGGCCCGGGGCUUCUCCGGAGGCGCCCAAUGCCGCCGCGAAGAGUUGGGCUCUGUCAGCCGCGGGUGCCUCGGGGGCCAGGGACGAGGCUCUGGCCGCAGGGAGAGGAACGGAGCGGGUCCCCGCGCGCGGUGCGCUUCCCUGAGCUGUGGGACGUGCACCCGGGACUCGGCUCAAACACGUGCAGCCUGCUGGGGGGCUGCGGAGGCGCGGGUCCGCCUUCCUCCUGGAAGGGGGACUCUGAUCGUGCGCCACCCCCUCCCUUCGCCGCCACUGGUGGGCCUCUGGACCUCGGAUCUGCAGAUUGGACCUGGGUGCGUGCAGAUUGGCAGGACUCGUCAAGCCACCUCCAGAACUGGCCCAAAUGAGUGGGCAAUGAGCCGAGUAGCCAGCUAGCCGUUCGUGCCUGCGGUUUUAAUACUUUUCUUAUUCCUGAUGGGCCCCCCAGAC
rnacentral:lncRNA from 1 species